CGGGGAAUAGCGCAGUCCGGCAGCGCGCUACGUUCGGGACGUAGAGGUCCGGGGUUCAAAUCCCCGUUCCCCGA
rnacentral:tRNA from 1 species